rnacentral:rRNA from 1 species
AUUGAACGCUGGCGGCAGGCCUAACAAAUGCAAGUCGAACGAGUGGUGGACGGGUGAGUAAUGUCUGGGAAACUGCCUGAUGGAGGGGGAUAACUACUGGAAACGGUAGCUAAUACCGCAUACCAUCGGAUGUGCCCAGAUGGGAUUAGCUAGUACGUGGGGGAAAGGCUAAACUAGGCGAGGAUCCCUAGCUGGUCUGAGAGGAUGACCAGCAACACUGGGAAGUAGACACGGUCCAGACUCCAACGGGAGGCAGCAGUGGGGAAUAUUGCACAAUGGGCGCAAGCCUGAUGCAGCCAUGCCGCGUGUAUGAAGAAGGCCUUCGGGUUGUAAAGUACUUUCAGCGGGGAGGCGUUACCCACAGAAGAAGCACCGGCUAACUCCGUGCCAGCAGCCGCGGUAAUACC